rnacentral:piRNA from 1 species
UGUCCUCACCACGUUAGUGUCACCCAC